ensembl:lncRNA
GAGUGAGCUGGUGAGGUAGGCUGGUUAAUAUAUAUACUGAACAGGGAUGGAGAGUGAGCUGGUGAGGUAGGCUGGACAAUACAUAUACUGAACAGGGAUGGAGAGUGAGCUGGUGAGGUAGGCUGGACAAUAAAUAUACUGAACAGGGAUGGAGAGUGAGCUGGUGAGGUAGACUGGACAAUAUAUAUACUGAACAGGGAUGGAGAGGGAGCUGGUGAGGUAGACUGCACAAUAUAUAUACUGAACAGGGAUGGAGAGUGAGCUGGUGAGGUAGGCUGGACAAUACAUAUACUGAACAGGGAUGGAGAGUGAGCUGGUGAGGUAGACUGAACAGGGAUGGAGAGUGAGCUGGUGAGGUAGACUGGUCAAUAUAUAUACUGAACAGGGAUGGAGAGUGAGCUGGU